UGACUAUCCACAGGCAGGGCUAGAAAAGGGAGUGGAACAUUUUACUUAGGCAGGAAGCACUGAAGAGAAGAAUCUUUUUUUCAGUAGACAUUUGUGGGAAAUAAAAAUUUGUUUAGAAGAAUUUAGGCCAAGAGAUAAAAUGGUCUUCUUUUGACUGAGGAGAGAUAAGAUAGAUUUUAAGCAGACAUCUGAAGUUAAAGGUGAGAGAAGGAAGAUAAACUGGGUGAUUUUGCUCACCUAAGAAGGUACACAGAUCCAAAGAAAAAGAGAUUCGAGAGGUGUCUCCAGCUUCUGAUUUUGAUGACAUCUCCCAGAGAGGACCGUGUUGCCAUCACCAUCCCAGAGUCUGAAAGUGUCCAGGAGUUGUGUUUUCCUGAUUCUUCAUGGUCCAUGUAGAUGUGUUGAUGUCUGUGCAACUGAAGGAACAAUCACCUCUUCCAGUAUUUAUAGACUGCUUUUUGCAGGUCUGCAGGCCUGCCUCUGUGAGUACAGAUGGGUUUGUCUCCAGUGUGUGGGUACACCUGCCUGUGGACUGAGCUGAUCAGGGUUGAAGCUAGGUCACAGAGAUGCUUCAGGAGUUGAAGUUGGAACUGCAGUCAGCCAGCCUGUUACCCAAGAGACAAGCAGAAUACAUUAUCUUUUGUUUUAUGCUGAAGUAGAGUGCAGCAAGCAAAAAGCAGCAAAAGACACAUAAUCAAAGUACUUGGAAUGCUGACUGUAAAAUUAUGCUGAGAACUGGCUGCAUGAUAAGAUGCUUUUCCUUCCUCUUUGUUAUUUGUAUUAUUUUGUAAAGAUAGGCCAGUGUGAGUAUGUCCAAAUAAGCUAAUAAUCUAUUUCCCUUAAAAUUUCAGCAAAUAUUCAAGAGAAUAAAAAUGUAAGUUAUUGUCCACACAGCUAAUGUUAAUUUUUCAUUAACAUAAUUUAAGUCUCGGUGAUAGUUUGAAAAUGUUCAUAAUGUUCAUUAUCUAAUAAAAUAGAUAAUUGUGGAAUUAUCUAACUCGUAGAAGAUUAAUUGUGGAAGAGUUGUUUGUAUAUUUGUAACUGUCUCGUUUUUAGUAAAACCAAUUUUUUUUUCUGAGUUAAAAUAUUAAACAAUGAAAAAGUAAACUCAAUAAAUGUAAUUCAGUGCCUUGCAUAAUAGAAAAAUGUUAACAAGGUAAAAGCUGUUAAAAUUGGGAUGGUUUCAAAUUUUAAUGUGAAAAUUUCUGUGAUAAUUUAAUCUGCUAAUAUAAUGUUUAACUCUAGAUCUCUUUCUUGUGACAUGGCUCGAUGCAAUUUAGGUUGCUGUCAUUAAAAUUCUACAAGCACAUCAUACAGGCCUAUCUGCAGUGUACCCAUUUCUGCUCUACCUAUGUACAUACCUAAACCUGAAAACAGGGUUGGAGCUCACUUCUUAUGUUCAUCUCCUUGCCCUCCCAUGCUCAUUUGCAGCAUAGUCAGAUGAAGUAUAGUUAACAAACUUAUAGCAAAG
rnacentral:lncRNA from 10 species